rnacentral:lncRNA from 1 species
AUUAUUUUUAAAAUGUUAUCUUAUCCUAUUUAGUCGUUGGUGCAUAGUACCAUAUGCCCUAGUUAUAGCCCCAUGUAGGAUUGGAUGAAAAAAAUUCAAAAAAACACCCUAGUUAUAGCCCCAUGUAGGAUUGGAUAAAAAAAUUUAAAAAAACACCAAAAUGUCGGCUACCACAGGUUUUGAACCUGGGACCUGCAACCAUUUAGCCCUCAGCCGACUGCUCAUGUCGGCUACCACAGGUUUUGAACCUGGGACCUGCAACCAUUUAGCCCUCAGCCGACUGCUCUAACCACUAAAGACAAGUCCCUUUUGUUGGCU